rnacentral:piRNA from 1 species
UUACCAGCAGAACUAGGAAACAUGGU